rnacentral:rRNA from 1 species
UACGUAGGGUGCGAGCGUUGUCCGGAAUUAUUGGGCGUAAAGAGCUCGUAGGCGGUGUGUCACGUCGGCCGUGAAAACCUGGGGCUUAACUCUGGGCGUGCGGUCGAUACGGGCAUCACUAGAGUUCGGCAGGGGAGACUGGAAUUCCUGGUGUAGCGGUGAAAUGCGCAGAUAUCGGGAGGAACACCAGUGGCGAAGGCGACUACCUGGCCUGUUCUUGACGCUGAGGCGCGAAAGCUAGGGGAGCAAACGGG